rnacentral:rRNA from 1 species
CGUCUAUAUACGUAUAGCAUAUCAAUAAGCGGAGGAAAAGAAACUAACUAAGGAUUCCCUCAGUAACGGCGAGUGAAGCGGGAAGAGCUCAAAUUUGAAAUCUUCAAGGUUCUACCUUGACGAAUUGUAGUUUAAAGAAGUGUUUUCUGUUGGAGUUUUGGUAAAAGUUCUUUGGAGUAGGACAUCAUAGAGGGUGAGAAUCCCGUAUUUGACCAUUAUUUCCAGCUUUGUGAUACACUUUCAAAGAGUCGGAUUGUUUGGGAAUGCAGUCCAAAAUGGGUGGUAAAUUUCAUCUAAAGCUAAAUACUGGCGAGAGACCGAUAGCGAACAAGUACCGUGAGGGAAAGAUGAAAAGAACUUUGAAAAGAGAGUUAAACAGUACGUGAAAUUGUCAAAAGGGAAGCGUUUGACACCAGUGUUGUUUUCUCGAAAAUCAAUUAAAAAUGGUGGGAUGUUGUGUUGUAUUGACUUUAUCAGCUUUCUGCACUUUUUUUCCUAUCUUUUUUAAUGCACUUUUCGUUUAACAAGUCAACAUCAAUUUCUUUUGUUGUAAAAGAGUCAUUGGAAGGUGGCUUUCUUUUCGGAGAAAGUGUUUAUAGCCUUUGGCUUCUGCAAUCGGAGAGAUUGAGGUCUGCAGCGUAGAUCCUUCGGGGUUAGAUACAUUUGUGCUAAGUUAUAGCCUUUCAUAGACAACUUGUUGACUAUGAUUAGUCAUUGUAGCUUACUCGCUUAUGCUAUUUUACCUACGCUUAGGAUGUUGAUAUGCAUGACUGAUAU